AUUGAACGCUGGCGGCAGGCUUAACACAUGCAAGUCGAACGAGUGGCGGACGGGUGAGUCAUGCUUGGGAAUCUGGCUUAUGGAGGGGGAUAACGACGGGAAACUGUCGCUAAUACCGCGUACCCUAGGAUGAGCCCAAGUGGGAGUUGGUAGUUGGGGGGGUAAUGGCCGACCAAGCCGACGAGCGCUAGCUGGUCUGAGAGGGUGACCAUCCACACCGGGACUGCGACUCGGCCCGGACUCCUACGGGAGGCAGCAGUGGGGAAUAUUGCGCAAUGGGGGCAACCUGACGCAGCCAUGCCGCGUGAAUGAAGAAGGCCUUCGGGUUGUAAAGUUCUUUCGGUGACGAGGCGUUAAUCACAGAAGAAGCACCGGCUAACUCCGUGCCAGCAGCCGCGGUAAUUC
rnacentral:rRNA from 1 species